GACGAACGCUGGCGGCGUGCUUAACACAUGCCAGUCGAACGAAGAGCGAUGGAAGCUUGCUUCUAUCAAUCUUAGUGGCGAACGGGUGAGUAACGCGUAAUCAACCUGCCCUUCAGAGGGGGACAACAGUUGGAAACGACUGCUAAUACCGCAUACGAUCUAAUCUCGGCAUCGAGGAUAGAUGAAAGGUGGCCUCUACAUGUAAGCUAUCACUGAAGGAGGGGAUUGCGUCUGAUUAGCUAGUUGGAGGGGUAACGGCCCACCAAGGCGAUGAUCAGUAGCCGGCCUGAGAGGAUGAACGGCCACAUUGGGACUGAGACACGGCCCAGACUCCUACGGGAGGCAGCAGUGGGGAAUCUUCCGCAAUGGACGAAAGUCUGACGGAGCAACGCCGCGUGAGUGAUGACGGCCUUCGGGUUGUAAAGCUCUGUUAAUCGGGACGAAAGGCCUUCUUGCGAAUAGUGAGAAGGAUUGACGGUACCGGAAGAGAAAGCCACGGCUAACUACGUG
rnacentral:rRNA from 1 species